rnacentral:rRNA from 1 species
GACGAACGCUGGCGGCGUGCUUAACACAUGCAAGUCGAACGGAAAGGCCCUGCUUUUGUGGGGUGCUCGAGUGGCGAACGGGUGAGUAACACGUGAGUAACCUGCCCUUGACUUUGGGAUAACUGCAGGAAACUGGGGCUAAUACCGGAUAGGAGCUCCUGCUGCAUGGUGGGGGUUGGAAAGUUUCGGCGGUUGGGGAUGGACUCGCGGCUUAUCAGCUGGUUGGUUGGGUAGUGGCUUACCAAGGCUUUGACGGGUAGCCGGCCUGGGAGGGUGACCGGCCACAUUGGGACUGAGAUACGGACCAGACUCCUACGGGAGGCAGCAGUGGGGAAUAUUGCACAAUGGGCGGAAGCCUGAUGCAGCAACGCCGCGUGCGGGAUGACGGCCUUCGGGUUGUAAACCGCUUUAGCCUGUGACGAAGCGUGAGUGACGGUAAUGGGUAAAGAAGCACCGGCUAACUACGUG